CUUGUUUUAUGCUUUGAGGUUAGGGAGUUAGGCGGCUAAUAUGUUUUUGUUAGUUUGGUAUGUUUUAUUCUUAGAGAGCAAUUAAAUUAAUAAUCCAUUUGGCUAUGUGUUCUAAUCAAAAGUUAUCUUUUUUGAAAAAAAAUAAAAAAAAAUUAGGCACUUGAUUAAAAAUUUACAAAAGAACAUAUAAGAUAUUAAAAGUUAGUAAGAAUUGAACGAGUUGAAUAUUAUCCGUUUUAAACCAAUUUCAAUAUAAGUAAUAACUUUUGGUGCCACUAUUUUCUAGCGAAAAUUUUAAUUAGUUAGAUUGGGAGAUUUGGAAUAUGGAAUGCUUAAGAAGGCAAUAUAUAGUGCAAUAGCCGG
rnacentral:lncRNA from 1 species